AUACUUACCUGGCAGGGGAGAGGCCAUGAUCAUGAAGGUAGUUUUCCCAGGGUGAGGCUCAUUCAUUGCACUCCAUAGCUGUGCUUACUCCUGUGAUUUUCCCAGAUGCAGGAAACUCGACGGCAUAAUUUGUGGUAGUGAGGAACUACAGUCAUGUUAUCCCCG
ensembl:snRNA U1 U1 spliceosomal RNA